GUCAAGAUAGCUCAGUUGGUAGAGUAGUGGACUGAAAAUCCUCGUGUCACCAGUUCAAAUCUGGUUCUUGACA
rnacentral:tRNA from 1 species